rnacentral:rRNA from 1 species
AGUGAACGCUGGCGGUAGGCCUAACACAUGCAAGUCGAACGGCAGCACAGGAGAGCUUGCUCUCUGGGUGGCGAGUGGCGGACGGGUGAGGAAUACAUCGGAAUCUACUUUUUCGUGGGGGAUAACGUAGGGAAACUUACGCUAAUACCGCAUACGACCUACGGGUGAAAGCAGGGGAUCUUCGGACCUUGCGCGAUUGAAUGAGCCGAUGUCGGAUUAGCUAGUUGGCGGGGUAAAGGCCCACCAAGGCGACGAUCCGUAGCUGGUCUGAGAGGAUGAUCGGCCACACUGGAACUGAGACACGGGCCAGACUCCUACGGGAGGCAGCAGUGGGGAAUAUUGGACAAUGGGCGCAAGCCUGAUCCAGCCAUACCGCGUGGGUGAAGAAGGCCUUCGGGUUGUAAAGCCCUUUUGUUGGGAAAGAAAUCCAGCUGGUUAAUACCCGGUUGGGAUGACGGUACCCAAAGAAUAAGCACCGGCUAACUUCGUGCCAGCCGCCGCGGUAA